rnacentral:rRNA from 1 species
AUUGAACGCUGGCGGCAGGCCUAACACAUGCAAGUCGAGCGGAUGAAGGGAGCUUGCUCCUGGAUUCAGCGGCGGACGGGUGAGUAAUGCCUAGGAACCUGCCUGGCAGUGGGGGAUAACGUCCGGAAACGGGCGCUAAUACCGCAUACGUCCUGAGGGAGAAAGUGGGGGAUCUUCGGACCUCACGCUAUUAGAUGAGCCUAGGUCGGAUUAGCUAGUUGGUGGGGUAAAGGCCUACCAAGGCGACGAUCCGUAACUGGUCUGAGAGGAUGAUCAGUCACACUGGAACUGAGACACGGUCCAGACUCCUACGGGAGGCAGCAGUGGGGAAUAUUGGACAAAGGGCGAAAGCCUGAUCCAGCCAUGCCGCGUGUGUGAAGAAGGUCUUCGGAUUGUAAAGCACUUUAAGUUGGGAGGAAGAGCAGUAAGUUAAUACCUUGCUGUUUUGACGGUACCAACAGAAUAAGCACCGGCUAACUUCGUG